GGUUUGCAGGAGGGGCCGCGGUCCUGGGUGGGGGACAGCACGGGCCCUCAGUGGCGCGGCUGCUUCGCCCAGCUGGUCGGCUCGCGGGUGGGCCAGCUUCCUGCCUCUGGAGGGGCAGUGACCGCCACCGUCGGGGGCUGGCUGGAGGUUGUUCGGGGUUGGAGGGCAGAGGUCAGAGGUCGUGUCUUUGGGGAAUGUUGGGGUCCCGCCCAUCUAAGCCUAGGAGCGGGCCGCGCCCCGUUUUGUUUUUGUCAGCGCCCGUUUGGGGACCGCCCUCCUGGCACGGAAGGAGCGCUGAGGGAAACUGAGGCCUGGGAGCCGCCGGGGCCCCUCGCAGGCCCCGAGCUCGGAUGGCGAGGCCGGCCGGUCCUCGGGCGCCCGCCGCCUCCCUCCUCCGGGCCCGUGGUUCUGUAGGGUGCGGGUUAGAGGGGGUGGGCGGCACGGCCGCGGGGGGGGCCACCGGCUGUCCCCGAAGGCCCCCCCCCCCCCGGGUUCUGAUGCCAGCUCUUUCGGAGGCUGUCAUUCCCCGUGUUUGAGAUUUCGUGUCUGGAACCUCAUUCGGACAGUUUGAAGAGGGGAGAGGGGGUAGCGUGGCUUUGGCACUUGGCAGGAGGUGAAAAUAAAAACCAGACGUGGGAUGUAAUGAAGGCAGAGGGACCUGCGAGAAACUGGACGAAUUUCUUAGCUCGACAAGGAUUUUCUCCCCAACUUGCCCCGCAUAGUGUGUAAUUCAAGCUUUCGGCACUUGAAAUCGAGAGUAUUGUACUCCCCUAGGUCUCAUAAGCAAGAGCCCUAAGUCUUGACCUUCUUGGUGAGGAUACUUUGGAAUGUGUAAAGUAAUGAACAAGAAUUGUUUUGUACAAAGUUCCGAGUUAAGAUUCACAGAACAGGGAGGGUGGGAACCUCUCUGCUUGGGGGGGAUCUUGGUAGCUUCUCUACUUCUCUGACACCCAAAAGAGAAGUUUCUUUAUCUGUAUGGGUUUUGGGGAGACACGGCUCUGGAUGAGGAAUAAGAGGGAAAGAGGGAUUCUUUUUUUAUUUUAUUCUUUUUUUUAUUUUUGAGAGAGAAACAGCACGAGCGGGGGAGGGGCAGAGAGAGAGAAGGAAACAGAAUCGAAGCAGGCUGCAGGCUCUGAGCUGUCAGCACAGAGCCCGACACGGGGCUCGAACUCACAGACCUCAAGAUCAUGACCUGAGCUGAAGUCAGACCCCUAACCGACUGAGCCACCCAGGUGCCCCGCGAUUCUUUUCAUUUUCUAUGCAGAAAGUGUGCAAUUAGGCAAUUCCCUUUCCCUCACCCUCCAUCUGAGCUAGCAUAAAACACAUUCUUUUUUGUACUGACGGUAUCUGUCGAGUAUUUAUAGUGGAAGGGGACGGGAGUAAUCUCUCUAGCAAUAAGUCCUUCACCUGUACUGUAGCCGCAAGAGGAAUGGAUGUGUCUUGUGUGGAAUUAACCCUGGGGUUUGGUUUUCAGUUAAGAAAAUGAGGCAGAAGGAAGUGUUAACCAAGACCUUCCAAGGCCCAGCCAUUGUCUGUAGGACUCCGACCAGCCACGUUUACAUGUUUGAGAACGGUGGUGGGGACUCAGGGGACUCCUCUGAGGAAGAGUCCCACCGCGUGGCUCUGCGGCCCCGGGGCAAGGAGCGCCAGAAGAAGGGUGCCCCCCACCCUCACCAGCCAGGAGCGGGGGACGUGGUGCUGCUUCAGCGGGAACUGGCCCAGGAGGACAGCCUCAACAAGCUCGCUCUUCAGUAUGGCUGCAAAGUCGCAGAUAUCAAGAAAGUCAACAACUUCAUCAGAGAACAAGAUUUAUAUGCUUUGAAAUCUAUUAAGAUCCCAGUGAAAAAUCAUGGGAUCCUAACAGAGACCCACAAAGAACUCAGACCCGUCCCAAGCCCAUCCUCAGAGACUAGAGUGACCUUCGAGGAGCUGCCAGACCCAGACAGGGCAGCUGUAGGCGCCAGUGCCCUGUCCAGCCCACUGACGGAUUUCUUUAAGGGCAUUGACCAGAAUAUUGAGCGCGCCGUGCAGUCAGAAAUCUUUUUAAAUGAAAGUUGCUGUGGAGAGACCUCCAGUCAGCCGCUGCUUCCAGCGCCUCCGAAGACCCCAACAAACGGUGCAGACUGUGGGAUUCAGUGGUGGAAUGCUGUUUUUAUCAUGCUUCUAAUUGGGAUUGUUUUACCAGUGUUUUAUUUGGUCUAUUUUAAAAUACAGGCUACUGGCGAGAUCCCCAGCGGCUUGAACACAACCACUGUCCCCAACGGCUCGAUGACCGUGAGUGCAGUUCCAGGGCAAGCCCCCAGAGUAGCCGUCCCAGUGCCAACCAUCCCCUCUUCAGACAGCCAGUUCAGUCAGACCACCCGGGCAGGGAACUAGCCAUCGUUGUUCCUAAAGAAUCCGGCCAGUGUCAGCAUUUGACCUCCUAACAUGCAUCACCUGCCAUCGGCCAGAGCCUUGGGUGCCGCAUUUCCUUUUCUGUGACAUACGGACACGUUUCAGAAAACACCAUUGUGUUCUCAGUAACACUCACCUUGGGGAGUAGGCUUGCCUAACCCAAGGCUGUGGGAGCCAAAACACCAGCACCCUCAGCCUCCUACAUCCAGAAGUUAACAGCAAGAGAAACAUUUUCACGUGGCAGGUGCCACUUCUUGAAGCUGCCUUCGGCUGUUUUGGGACACGGUGAGCAGGUGCAAGAUGUAAGAAAGUGACUGAAGUCUAGGACACGUUCUCUGAAGCUGGGCGAGCUACGAGUCAGCCUAGGUCGUCUGGGAAGCAGACACGGAGUUGGGAGCUCAAGAUUUCUUGCAGGAGGGAAGGGGCGUGCCCCAGGCUGUGUGCGGCCAUUGGCUGGGGGCUGGCUCAGAGGAGCUCGUCCUCAGCUCACACCCCGGGACAGCUGGGGAUCGGGGCUCACCUCUUACUCUCUGGGCUAAGCACAUUCUGCUGUGUGAUGGCACUCAUGCCCUCGGCCCCUCAGGAGUCCCUCUCCUUAGUGUUCCAGGAACACUUCACUUUGUGAACCCCCUUCACUUUGUGUGGAAGGUGGGAAGAAACACUGGUUUCCUCAGUUCUACAGCAGGUGCUGCUCUGACCCUGUAAGGAGAGACCAGACAGGCAGAGGGGAGCAGGCUGGGCCAUCCAGCUGGCAGAGGGCUCCGACUGAAAAAUCAUCUUCUUGGCUGGUGCCAGUCGGACACAGAAUCGGCUUAAAAGCAAGAUAAAGCCUAGAGGAAGGCACCCGUGGGAGCUAACUAGGAAAUCGCAGUGAAUUGAUUUUAAGUAGCUGCAGCUGUGAUUAAACUAUUUUUAGCCACAGGACUCCACCGGCUUUCAAAACCUGCUAAUAAGAGCCUCACUGUAGCCAGCAAGUAAAACCAGCACAAAAAUUUAGCUUUUCAUUUGACAGCAAGAAUCUGCUUAGUUAGGAGCUGGCUUAAAAGGCAAACCCAAGGAAGGGAACACUUUCCACACUUCCCAGUUUAAGACAAGUUUUCACACCUGUCACUUCUGAAAACAAUUCAUUUACUGAAUCUGUCUUUUGCCGCUGUCUCAGUAUCAUGUAUGCAUUUUGGGUAAAACAAAUCAUCUCACCCCCUAAAUUCAAAAAGACAGAACUUGCUAUAUAUAUCAUCCGAUCCCGUUUAGCAGUAUUCCCGCCCGCCCCGCCAACCCUGGCUCAUCAUCUAUCCCGCGAGAAGUCAUUCCUAGAGCCUGGAUGGCCUUACCGGGUCCACAGCAGCUGCAGUGACGGCCAGGCCCGCCGAUGCUGGGGCCCGGACUGCCCACUGCUUCCUGAGGGGCCAAGGGCAGCCCAGAAGGGGAGGCCCCGGGAGCAGCUACGGGUGAGGCUGGUGAGACGCCACGGUGAUCUCCUUGACCGAGUCUCAAGGUGAGUAAAGGAGAUCUGCAGGUGGGAGAGGCCUGUGAGCAGAAGGGAAAGGAGAGGGACUCGGGGGGACAGAGGGGCCGACUGGCGGCAAACACGACAGAGUCUGGAGUACACAGGAAAAGCCAGUCCGUCUUUACUGUAGUGAGUGCAGGAUACAAAUAGUUUACAACAACCUCUAGCAUUUUCUUAACCAUUUGAUAAAAAGUUCACUAUAAUAUUUAUUGUAUAAUGAAGAAAAAACAACACAUUCAGGGAAAAAUUGAGAUUAACUUAUUUUUCUUAAAAGGUUCAUCUCAAGGAUGGCAACAAAGUCCAGCUUGUGCCGCCAAACGGUUUUACGUGAUCAAACCGUGUACAGCUUCUUGUGUGAACUGUUGACUACAAACAUUUACCAAAUACAUAAAUCUCUUUUUAAAAAAGCCAUUUUAAAUAUAGCAAAGCAGUGUCUUCUUGCACAGCAAAGUGAAGAAAGUUUCUACAGAGAAAUAAAAGUUUUACAUUUGUAAAAUCUUUUUCACAUUCUACUCAUCUAGCUUCUCAUGAUCCGACGCCAGGAGUUUUCUGGUUCCUUAUUUACUAUGUAUUUCUUGUGCGCAUGAUGGUUAAUCAAGAAAAUAUGUUAAUGCUUUGUUAGCUGUCCUUAUAGGUAAAGGAAAUGGUAAAACAUAUACUGUUCUUUUAGAACAAACCCCUGAUUUAGUCUCGAACACAAUGGACAGAAUUAGGGCUCAAAAGAUGGAGUUUUGAUCGGGACCAUCUGCAGACAUAUGAUGGUGGCUCUGCUCUCAGUGUCGUGCUGGGCGGCGCACGGAGGGAAACUGUACUUCAACCAGUGCGGUGUACUCUAAGCUUUUUUUGUUUUUGUCUUUUAGUAAUAAAAUACUUCAUCUGAAGGAUAAAAUUUUCUUGUGAUGGUGUCAUACAAAACACAUGAGUCUAAAACGGUAAGAAAAGUCGGUUCUAAAGAAACACCAUUCGUGUCUUCCCCGCUCUGAGUUGGUUUCCACCAGGAGAUGUGCAUGUGUAUGUGUUUGUACAUGGUGUCUGGGUGAGGGGUGUCUGUCAAGUCCGUAUGCUCCACGUCACACUGGGCAUACAGGAAGAGGGUUAACAGUCAAAUAUUCACUUCCUGAAAACGGAAUACAUUGUUACUUGGUCAGUGUAAUUGAAAUACAAACUCCGAGCCUUGUGUACUAUAAUUUUAGAAAACAGUAGUUGUACUGAUUAUAAACCUGCAUAGAAAGAAAGACUAUUGAGAUACAGUCAGAAAAGCCAUCUCAUAAGGCACACAAGAAAAUAGACAGUAAAUGUGAAUGUGUUAACUCCUAUUCCAAUGUACAGCAGAAGUUCAUGAACAUGCAUAAAUAAUAACGAAAGAAUCACUUAACACUUUCAAAGCUAUAAAUGGUUUACAAAGUGGUAAGGAUCAUCUUGGAAAUUCAGUGUUGGGAGACUGUCUUGUUUCAAUUAAGUGUGACCUUAUGAAGAAAUGUGCCUGUAUGUAGUUCAGUAAAAGAAGUACAUUUUAACAAAAAACUAAUCCUUUCUGAGGACGAGCCAAAUGUCUAUACUGACGAGAGGAGACGGCACAUCACCCUCCCUUUUUUGGCCUCUAUCAAAAAUUAAAACAGAAUUCCAUUUUUUUUUAGUUGUGAACGCCACAGGUUUAUCCUGUACCUAAUACCUAUGUGUCAGUCAGGAAACCUGGCUGAUGAUUUGUCACAAAUAGCAUUAUGAGGAAAUUGCCAAAAGGAAGGCAAUUUAGGGGGAAAAGCAAAACAUAAGUAAAAACUGUAGGUAGCUGCUCAAUAUUAAGUGUAAAAUACAAAAUAGCAGCAACUCUUAAACCCUUAUUUUGAGUUUCUCAGGAAAGGGAGUAUUUAAAAAAUCUAUGAUGAAAGAUAUACAGGACUUUGAAUUUUGUUUGUGGCACAAGCCCAGGAAACGCACGAACCUGCUAUCACGCCUUCGCUGUCUUCCUGCAGGAGAAGUAAGGCCUUGUUCAGAAGCUAAGCUGAGUGCGGCACGGGCUCCAUUAGGACGGCAGGCCGUGCCAAGGAUCUGCCCACGAGAGAAUUUCUCCCCACACCAAAGUGUCAUUUCACUGCACAGAGAGUUCAGGAUGGUAGGAUUUUGUAACCAGCUGCAUCAUUCUAUUUUAGAGGGUCAAGGAAGAAAAGAUCCCUUCCCCCCAAAAUUAUUUCUCCCUAAUCAUUUACCACUUAUAAAACCUUUGUGCUCAUCUACUAUUUUGCCAUGAUCUCUAAUAUUAGUUAAAUUAGGUCAGCUUUUUCUACUAUAUUUUUUUCCUCACAAAAGGCAAGUUUUAAAUAAUGCCUUAUAAAAUCUGUUACAACACAUUUUAUAUUUAUGCAAGAUGAACUUAACACCAGUUGUUUUUUUUUGCCACUUUGCUAUUUAUGUACACAUAUAAAAUAUAUAAUGAUGCUCAACCCAUACAGCACAAAGAUUACAAUGUAACAUCACACAUUCACCACCAGUGAGGGGAGAAACCCCUUUAUACAAUCCUCCGAAAAAGACUGGGCUAAUAAUUAAAAUCCAAAGUACAGUAUAUUUAACAAAAUAGUAAAUAUUAAACAGUGAAUACUCUACUUGAUAAGGAUCUCGCCUUUUCCCCCCAAAUUGGCGGCAAUCCACAAAAAUAUACUUUUUAAUCUGGUGACCAUACAAUACAUAGGUACUUACAUCAAAGGUGAUAAUAUAUUUAAGAUGCUAUAUACACAAAGAGUUUGGCUCAACUUUUAAUUUACAUAUAGAAUAAUAAGUGUUCAUGGCUUUUUUUUUCCAAGGUUCUGCUUGCAAGAUAUUU